rnacentral:rRNA from 3 species
GUUAUAUGGUCAAGCGAAUAAGCGCACACGGUGGAUGCCUAGGCGGUCAGAGGCGAUGAAGGACGUGGUAGCCUGCGAAAAGUGUCGGGGAGCUGGCAACAAGCUUUGAUCCGGCAAUAUCCGAAUGGGGAAACCCACUGCUUCGGCAGUAUCCUGCAGUGAAUUCAUAGCUGCUGGAAGCGAACCCGGUGAACUGAAAUAUCUAAGUAACCGGAGGAAAAGAAAUCAACCGAGAUUCCCUAAGUAGUGACGAGCGAACGGGGAGCAGCCCUUAAGCUGGAAUGGCUUUAGAAAAACAAUCUGGAAAGAUUGGCCAUAGAAGGUGAUAGCCCUGUAUUUAAAAGGGCCACUCCAGUGAAGACGAGUAGGGCGGGGCACGUGAAACCCUGUCUGAAUAUGGGGGGACCAUCCUCCAAGGCUAAAUACUCCUGACCGACCGAUAGUGAACCAGUACCGUGAGGGAAAGGCGAAAAGAACCCCGGAGAGGGGAGUGAAAUAGAUCCUGAAACCGUGUGCGUACAAGCAGUAGGAGCUCGCAAGAGUGACUGCGUACCUUUUGUAUAAUGGGUCAGCGACUUACUGUUCGUGGCAAGCUUAACCGUAUAGGGGAGGCGAAGGGAAACCGAGUCUGAUAAGGGCGCAUAGUCGCGGGCAGUAGACCCGAAACCGGGUGAUCUAGUCAUGGCCAGGGUGAAGGUGCCGUAACAGGUACUGGAGGCCCGAACCCACGUCUGUUGCAAAAGACGGGGAUGAGCUGUGAUUAGGAGUGAAAAGCUAAUCGAACCCGGAGAUAGCUGGUUCUCCUCGAAAGCUAUUUAGGUAGCGCCUCAUAUGUAUCCUCUCGGGGGUAGAGCACUGUUAUGGCUAGGGGGUCAUCGCGACUUACCAAACCAUUGCAAACUCCGAAUACCGAGACGGACUGUAUGGGAGACACACGGCGGGUGCUAACGUCCGUCGUGAAAAGGGAAACAACCCAGACCCACAGCUAAGGUCCCAAAUUCACUGCUAAGUGGAAAACGAUGUGGAAAGGCAUAGACAGCCAGGAGGUUGGCUUAGAAGCAGCCACCCUUUAAAGAAAGCGUAAUAGCUCACUGGUCGAGUCGGUCUGCGCGGAAGAUUUAACGGGGCUAAGCAGUGAACCGAAGCUUGGGGUGCAUAAAACUUGUUUUAUGCGCGGUAGAGGAGCGUUCCGUAAGCCUGCGAAGGUGGAUUGAGAAGUCUGCUGGAGGUAUCGGAAGUGCGAAUGCUGACAUGAGUAACGAUAAUGCGGGUGAAAAGCCCGCACGCCGAAAGCCCAAGGUUUCCUUGCGCAACGUUAAUCGACGCAGGGUUAGUCGGUCCCUAAGGCGAGGGCGAAAGCCGUAGUCGAUGGGAAGCAGGUUAAUAUUCCUGCACCUCGCGUGAGUGCGAUGGAGGGACGGAGAAGGUUAGGUGUACCGGGCGUUGGUUGUCCCGGGGAAAGGCGGUAGGUUUGGAUCUUUGGCAAAUCCGGGAUCCUUUAAGACCGAGCACCGAGACGAGCCUUUAUGGCGAAGUCACUGAUACCACGCUUCCAGGAAAAGCUCCUAAGCUUCAGCUCACGAAGACCGUACCGUAAACCGACACAGGUGGGUAGGAUGAGAAUUCUCAGGCGCUUGAGAGAACUCGGGUGAAGGAACUAGGCAACAUGGCACCGUAACUUCGGGAGAAGGUGCACCCUUUUUGGUGGCUCGUGCGAGCUAUAGCUGAAGAGGGUCGCAGAAACCAGGCCGCUGCGACUGUUUAUCAAAAACACAGCACUCUGCAAACACGAAAGUGGACGUAUAGGGUGUGACGCCUGCCCGGUGCUGGAAGGUUAAUUGAUGGGGUCAGCCGCAAGGCGAAGCUCUUGAUCGAAGCCCCAGUAAACGGCGGCCGUAACUAUAACGGUCCUAAGGUAGCGAAAUUCCUUGUCGGGUAAGUUCCGACCUGCACGAAUGGCGUAACGACAGCGGCGCUGUCUCCACCCGAGACUCAGUGAAAUUGAAAUCGCUGUGAAGAUGCAGCGUUCCCGUGGCAAGACGGAAAGACCCCGUGAACCUUUACUAUAGCUUUACACUGAACGUUGAGUUCGUCUGUGUAGGAUAGGUGGGAGGCUAUGAAACUGUGGCGCUAGCUGCAGUGGAGCCAUCCUUGAAAUACCACCCUGUCGUGCUUGACGUUCUAACCUAGGUCCGUUAUCCGGAUCAGGGACCGUGUAUGGUGGGUAGUUUGACUGGGGCGGUCUCCUCCUAAAGAGUAACGGAGGAGCACGAAGGUACGCUCAGCGCGGUCGGACAUCGCGCACUGUGUGCAAAGGCAUAAGCGUGCUUGACUGCAAGAUCGACGGAUCAAGCAGGUACGAAAGUAGGUCUUAGUGAUCCGGUGGUUCUGUAUGGAAGGGCCAUCGCUCAACGGAUAAAAGGUACUCCGGGGAUAACAGGCUGAUACCGCCCAAGAGUUCAUAUCGACGGCGGUGUUUGGCACCUCGAUGUCGGCUCAUCACAUCCUGGGGCUGUAGUCGGUCCCAAGGGUAUGGCUGUUCGCCAUUUAAAGUGGUACGCGAGCUGGGUUCAGAACGUCGUGAGACAGUUCGGUCCCUAUCUGCCAUGGGCGUUGGAAGUUUGAGAGGGGCUGCUCCUAGUACGAGAGGACCGGAGUGGACGAACCUCUGGUGUUCCGGUUGUCACGCCAGUGGCAUUGCCGGGUAGCUAUGUUCGGAAGCGAUAACCGCUGAAAGCAUCUAAGCGGGAAGCGCGCCUCAAGAUGAGACUUCCCGGGGCACAAGCCCCCUAAAGGAACCAUGUAGACUACGUGGUUGAUAGGUCAGGUGUGUAAGUACAGCAAUGUAUUGAGCUAACUGAUACUAAUGAUCCGUGCGGCUUGACCAUAUAACCUCA